rnacentral:piRNA from 1 species
UCCAGUCCUGACUGCAUGCACACG